GCGCGGGGGGCGCGGGCAGGGCGGGGGGGUGUGUGCGCGCUCGGAGGUUUCGGGCCAGCCACCGCCGCGCGAGCUAGAAGCGCCCCAGCCCGGCAAGCUGGCUCACCCGCUGGCCACCCAGCACAGCCCGCUGGCCCCUCUCCUGCAGCCCAUCUGGCGGAGCGGCGGCGGCGGCGGCGGCGGCGGCAGGAGAAUGGCAUCAGAACUGGCAAUGAGCAACUCCGACCUGCCCACCAGUCCCCUGGCCAUGGAAUAUGUUAAUGACUUCGAUCUGAUGAAGUUUGAAGUGAAAAAGGAACCGGUGGAGACCGACCGCAUCAUCAGCCAGUGUGGCCGUCUCAUCGCCGGGGGCUCGCUGUCCUCCACCCCCAUGAGCACGCCGUGCAGCUCGGUGCCCCCUUCCCCCAGCUUCUCGGCGCCCAGCCCGGGCUCGGGCAGCGAGCAGAAGGCGCACCUGGAAGACUACUACUGGAUGACCGGCUACCCGCAGCAGCUGAACCCCGAGGCGCUGGGCUUCAGCCCCGAGGACGCGGUCGAGGCGCUCAUCAGCAACAGCCACCAGCUCCAGGGCGGCUUCGAUGGCUACGCGCGCGGGGCGCAGCAGCUGGCCUCGGCGGCCGGGGCCGGCGCCGGCGCCUCCCUGGGCGGCAGCGGCGAGGAGAUGGGCCCCGCCGCCGCCGUGGUGUCCGCCGUGAUCGCCGCGGCCGCCGCGCAGAGCGGCGCGGGCCCGCACUACCACCACCACCACCACCACCACGCCGCCGGCCACCACCAUCACCCGACGGCCGGCGCGCCCGGCGCCGCGGGCAGCGCGUCCGCCUCGGCCGGUGGCGCGGGCGGCUCGGGCGGCGGCGGCCCGGCCAGCGCCGGGGGCGGCGGCGGCGGCGGCGGAGGCGGCGGCGGCGGCGGCGGCGGGGGCGCGGCGGGGGCGGGGGGCGCCCUGCACCCGCACCACGCCGCCGGCGGCCUGCACUUCGACGACCGCUUCUCCGACGAGCAGCUGGUGACCAUGUCGGUGCGCGAGCUGAACCGGCAGCUGCGCGGGGUCAGCAAGGAGGAGGUGAUCCGGCUGAAGCAGAAGAGGCGGACCCUGAAAAACCGCGGCUAUGCCCAGUCCUGCCGCUUCAAGAGGGUGCAGCAGAGGCACGUCCUGGAGUCCGAGAAGAACCAGCUGCUGCAGCAGGUCGACCACCUCAAGCAGGAGAUCUCCAGGCUGGUGCGCGAGAGGGACGCGUACAAGGAGAAAUACGAGAAGCUGGUGAGCAGCGGCUUCCGAGAAAACGGCUCGAGCAGCGACAACCCGUCCUCUCCCGAGUUUUUCAUAACUGAGCCCACUCACAAGUUGGAGCCAUCGGUGGGAUACACCACAUUUUGGAAGCCCCAGCGUCAUGUGCUUACCCGUGUAUUCACAAAAUGAAAUUUACAUAAUUUUACUAAGAAGAAAAAUAAAUAAAUAAUUGAGCCCCCCCCUCCCCAAGCAGAUGCCACGGGCAGAAGCUUUAACAGAACCGAGCACCCUGGUUUUCUCUCGGGCCCUGGAUAGUAUUGUAUUUAUCAGUGAUGUCAAACGUGGUCAUUCAUCAGACAGAGCCGUACCCAAGGGAAUCCUCUACAUCAGUGAUGUGAAAAAUCCUGUUGCCUGAAGUCAAAGAGAUGUUCCUGACAUUGGCUAAGACCCAUCCGGAUGCAACCGAGCCUUAACAGAGCUGCCUUGGGGCAGGGCAGGUCGGACACAUAUACAUAGGGGAGAGGCCUGUUGGUAGCUUUCCUGUCACCCGUGGGAGUUCCCUGAUGGAACUUGUAAAAACAGCACUUCCCGGGUUCUAAGUACCCAUCACUUUUUUUUUUUCCUAGUCUUACAAUUAGCUGAGUGGAUAUGUUUUAUCCUGACUGUACCUAUGCUGACAUGAAUUCAAACCAAUGUAAGGAAGGCUUUACUCUGUUAUGAACUGGGAUAUAAACAAAAAACACAGUAAAAGGACUCCGAAAUCUUGUUUCUACUUUGUAUAACGUGUCCUCCCUUGUUGCCAGUAAUCAUCCAGAAAUAAAACGCAAGCAUGGUUUCCCGA